CCUACGGGGGGCAGCAGUAGGGAAUAUUGCUCAAUGGGGGAAACCCUGAAGCAGCAACGCCGCGUGGAGGAUGAAGGUUUUAGGAUUGUAAACUCCUUUUGUUAGAGAAGAUUAUGACGGUAUCUAACGAAUAACCACUGGCUAAUUCCUUGCCAGCAGCCGCGGUAAUACGGAGGGUGCAAGCGUUACUCGGAAUCACUGGGCGUAAAGCGUGCGUAGGGGGGGUAAUAAGUCAGAUGUGAAUUCCUGUAGCUUAACCACAGAACUGCAGUUGAAACUGUUACUCUGGAGUGUGGGAGAGGUAGGUGGAAUGCUUGGUGUAGCGGUGAAAUCCGUAGAGAUCAAGAGGAAUACUCAUUGCGAAGGCGACCUGCUGGAACCUAACUGACGCUGAUGCACGAAAGCGUGGGGAGCAAACAGGAUUAGAUACCCUAGUAGUC
rnacentral:rRNA from 1 species